UCGAUUCACCACAAAUGAGAGGAGGAGCUGCUCGCAGCUGUGCUGGCUCUUGCAUUGUGCACGCUCGACUGUUCCUUCGCUUCAUUUACACACACCUGUGAACCUGUUGUAGGGUGUCCCGCAAGGGAUGCUCUAUGUUUUUUCAUACACACCAUUGUAUGUUGUUAGAAUGUGUCUUUUUGCUCUCGUCAGAGACAAAAAUAAAGCCUUUA
rnacentral:misc_RNA from 1 species